GUUCACUUUAACACUGAGGCGUGAUGACGAGGCACUACGGUGCUGAAGCAACAAAUGCCCUGCUUCCAGGAAAAGCCUCUAAGCAUCAGGUAACAUCAAAUCGUACCCCAAACCGACACAGGUGGUCAGGUAGAGAAUACCAAGGCGCUUGAGAGAACUCGGGUGAAGGAACUAGGCAAAAUGGUGCCGUAACUUCGGGAGAAGGCACGCUGACACGUAGGUGAAGUGAUUUACUCAUGGAGCUGAAGUCAGUCGAAGAUACCAGCUGGCUGCAACUGUUUAUUAAAAACACAGCACUGUGCAAACACGAAAGUGGACGUAUACGGUGUGACGCCUGCCCGGUGCCGGAAGGUUAAUUGAUGGGGUCAGCGCAAGCGAAGCUCCUGAUCGAAGCCCCGGUAAACGGCGGCCGUAACUAUAACGGUCCUAAGGUAGCGAAAUUCCUUGUCGGGUAAGUUCCGACCUGCACGAAUGGCGUAAUGAUGGCCAGGCUGUCUCCACCCGAGACUCAGUGAAAUUGAACUCGCUGUGAAGAUGCAGUGUACCCGCGGCAAGACGGAAAGACCCCGUGAACCUUUACUAUAGCUUGACACUGAACAUUGAGCCUUGAUGUGUAGGAUAGGUGGGAGGCUUUGAAGUGUGGACGCCAGUCUGCAUGGAGCCGGCCUUGAAAUACCACCCUUUAAUGUUUGAUGUUCUAACGUGGACCCGUGAUCCGGGUUGCGGACAGUGUCUGGUGGGUAGUUUGACUGGGGCGGUCUCCUCCUAAAGAGUAACGGAGGAGCACGAAGGUUGGCUAAUCCUGGUCGGACAUCAGGAGGUUAGUGCAAUGGCAUAAGCCAGCUUGACUGCGAGCGUGACGGCGCGAGCAGGUGCGAAAGCAGGUCAUAGUGAUCCGGUGGUUCUGAAUGGAAGGGCCAUCGCUCAACGGAUAAAAGGUACUCCGGGGAUAACAGGCUGAUACCGCCCAAGAGUUCAUAUCGACGGCGGUGUUUGGCACCUCGAUGUCGGCUCAUCACAUCCUGGGGCUGAAGUAGGUCCCAAGGGUAUGGCUGUUCGCCAUUUAAAGUGGUACGCGAGCUGGGUUUAGAACGUCGUGAGACAGUUCGGUCCCUAUCUGCCGUGGGCGCUGGAGAACUGAGGGGGGCUGCUCCUAGUACGAGAGGACCGGAGUGGACGCAUCACUGGUGUUCGGGUUGUCAUGCCAAUGGCACUGCCCGGUAGCUAAAUGCGGAAGAGAUAAGUGCUGAAAGCAUCUAAGCACGAAACUUGCCCCGAGAUGAGUUCUCCCUGAGACUUUAGGUCUCCUGAAGGAACGUUGAAGACGACGACGUUGAUAGGCCGGGUGUGUAAGCGCAGCGAUGCGUUGAGCUAACCGGUACUAAUGAACCGUGAGGCUUAACCUUACA
rnacentral:rRNA from 1 species